GAUGGUCGUGGCAAAAUGGCUAGUUCAUCUAGAAAAACAGAUGAAGAAAAAAUUAAAGUAGUACGAGAUCAUAUUCUGAGUUUUCCAGCAUGUGGGAGUCAUUACACGAGAUCACAUCACACUUCAGGUGAAAAUAAUACUACAUCAUGUGUAAAGGAGUGGACUUAUCCUCUUCAGACCCUGGGUACACAUAUGUGCACUUUAAAUUUCACUGAACUUAAUCAUCUUAGUGACAUCUUAUGGUAAAGUUGAGAAUUUUUGCAAGAGACGCCUAGUCAGUAACUUUGAAAAUCAAUAAAAAAUCAAUUGUUCACUUGUUUUUGGUAAAUCAAAGUGGAUACUACAGUCGAAGUGUUGGAUUAUCGUGUAAAAAGCUUCAAAAUGGACGACCGAGAAAUUGAGGCUUUAUUGAAUGAUAGCGACUUGGACUUCUCUGGAGAAAGCGAUGAUGAGUACCUACCAUCAGAUUUCAUGGAAACGGACAGCGAAGAAGGUGCAGGU